rnacentral:pre_miRNA from 1 species
AUCACCCAGAUCUUGUUAAAAUGCAGGUUUAGAUUCAAUAUGUCCUGGAUGGGCCAAAAGUUCUGCAUUUCUAACAAGCUCCCAGGUGAUGCUGA